UUCAAGUAUUGUUGAACCCAUACAUCCGCUUCGUUUUCAGGUGUAACAUCGUUGGGGGCAAUGUAGUUUAAGGACCUGUGUGGUGUUGCAUUCACGCCAUUGUAGCUCUUUACAAAUUUUUAAUCAAGUUAUUGAUUUAACAGAAAGUACCGUGCAGGAGCCUAUGGAGGUAGAAAAUAAUGUUGCAAGUGGAAGCAGCAGUACAUGUAGUAAACAAAAAAAUGACAUAUCAUUAGAAAAUGAUAUAAAAGAAGCAAGUGAGAUAUAUCUCAAUGAACCAAUGGAAGUAGAUUUUCUCGACUCUUUGUUGGAUGACCAAAAAAGGUUAUUUUAAGGAAACAGAUGAAUACAGUGAAGGACAUGAACAGUAUAUUCAUCAUAAAAAAGAAGAGAAAAAAAUGGUUGCAGUUUAAAUGUUUCAAGUAAAAAUCAAAAAGGAUCUAAAAUAUUUUAAAUAAAUGUUUAACAA